UACACUCAUGGUCCGACUACGGAACCAAAAUAAAAGAAGAACCCCAAAUGCGACAAAGGUCCCCGAUCGACCCCAACUGGGCUCCACUACUGAUCAACUAGAACGGAAACAACACAGAGGACAAGAUCUUCAAUGAGCUCCUCCUGAGCUUGGUUGCGUCAUCUGCACGGACUCAUCGGCACCUGCAAGCUGAAAUCCCGCAAGGAAGAAGAACGAGUCCAUGACGAAGUUAAACGGACAUAGACGAACGAGUCCUCACAACACGACGUUA